AGGGAUGUGGCUUAGUGGUAGAGUGCUUGCCUAGCAUUUAAGACCUUGGGUUCCAUCCACAGGACCCAUA
rnacentral:tRNA from 1 species